UAAUGAGGGAAGGAAAAGAAACUAACUAGGAUUUUCUUAGUAGCGGCGAGCGAAAAGAAAUCUAGUUCAGCACUGAGUUAUUUUGUUAUUUUUAACAAAUAUAAGAUGCAGUGUAUGGAAUAUCUAUAAUCUAGUAUGAUAAAUUAACAGUCCAAGUCCUUCUUAAAUGAGGCCAUUUACCCAUAGAGGGUGCCAGGCCCGUAGUGGCGUUAAUGAUUACUAGAAGAUAUUUCUUAAGAGUCGUGUUGCUUGAUAGUGCAGCACUAAUUUGGUGGUAAACUCCAUCUAAAACUAAAUAUAACCAUGAGACCGAUAGCAAACAAGUACCGUGAGGGAAAGUUGAAAAGAACUCUGAAUAGAGAGUUAAAUAGUACGUGAAACUGCUUAGAGGUUAAACCCGAUGAACCUGAAUAUCCAAUAUGAAAAAUUCAUCAUUAAUAAUAUAUUAUAUUUAUAAUAUAUAAAUAAUGUGCAAUUUUUUCAUAUAAGGACAUUGUAAUCUGUUAGUAAAUAAAAUUUAUCAUAAGUAUCGUUUGGAUAAGUUUAUAUUUUAUUAUAAGAAAAUUUUUUUCUUUAUAAUAUAUAUAAAAUCCAAUUAAAAUGCGAUUACAGAUAAAUUAUUGACAGAUUUUAUUAUAUAACGCUUACAUAUAUAAUAUGUUAUAAUAAUGUAAUAAUCAUGUAUUAUUAUUUUUAUUAUAUGCGUUUAUAUGAUUAACAAUGCUAUAGAUUUAGGAUACCUUCGGGACCCGUCUUGAAACACGGACCAAGGAGUCUAACAUGUACGCAAGCCAUUGGGUAUUAUAAAACCUAAAGGCAUAAUUAACUUAACUGAUAAAUAUAUGGGAUCAAUUAUAUAUAUAAUAUUAUUGUAUAUAUAUUCCAUCCCGGGGCGUUCUAUAUAGUUAUGCAUUUUAAUAUAUUUUUAUAUAUUAUAUAUGCCUCUAACUAGAGCGUACCUUGAGUAUAUAUGUUGUGACCCGAAAGAUGGUGAACUAUACCUGAUCAGGUUGAAGUCAGGGGAAACCCUGAUGGAAGACCGAAACAGUUCUGACGUGCAAAUCGAUUGUCAGAAUUGGGUAUAGGGGCGAAAGACCAAUCGAACCAUCUAGUAGCUGGUUCCCUCCGAAGUUUCCCUCAGGAUAGCUGGUGCAUUUAAAUAUUAUAUAAAAUAAUCUUAUCUGGUAAAGCGAAUGAUUAGAGGCCUUAGGGCCGAAACGACCUUAACCUAUUCUCAAACUUUAAAUGGGUAAGAACCUCACCUUUCUUGAUAUGAAGGUGUAGGUUAUGAUAUAUUGUGCCCAGUGGGCCACUUUUGGUAAGCAGAACUGGCGCUGUGGGAUGAACCAAACGUGAUGUUACGGCGCCCAAAUUAACAACUCAUACUGAUACCAUGAAAGGCGUUGCUUGCUUAAAACAGCAGGACGGUGGACAUGGAAGUCGUAAUCCGCUAAGGAGUGUGUAACAACUCACCUGCCGAAGCAACUAGCCCUUAAAAUGGAUGGCGCUCAAGUUGUAUGCCUAUACAUCACCGCUAAAGUAUAUGAUUUAUUAAUACAAAUUUUUUUUUUAUAAAUUUUGAAACUCUAGUGAGUAGGAGGGUACAAUGGUGUGCGUAGAAGUGUUUGGCGUAAGCCUGCAUGGAGCCGCCAUUGGUACAGAUCUUGGUGGUAGUAGCAAAUAAUCGAAUGAGACCUUGGAGGACUGAAGUGGAGAAGGGUUUCGUGUGAACAGUGGUUGAUCACGAGUUAGUCGGUCCUAAGUUCAAGGCGAAAGCCGAAAAAUUUUAAGUUAUAUUAUUAUAUAAUAUACUUAUAAUUAUAAUUGAACGAAAGGGAAUACGGUUCCAAUUCCGUAACCUGUUGAGUAUACGUUUGUAAUUAAAAAUGGGCUUUUAUGCUCAUCCUGGUAACAGAAACAACCAUAAAGAAGCCGUCGAGAAAUAUCGAAAGAGUUUUCUUUUCUGUUUUAUAGUCGUACUACCAUGGAAGUCUUUCGAAGAGAGAUAUGGUAGAUGGACUAGAAGAGCAUGGCAUUUACUGCUGUGUCGAUAUUUUCUCCUCGGACCUUGAAAAUUUAUGGUAGGGUAACGCAAACUUCUUAACAGGCCGUACCGAUAUCCGCAGCUGGUCUCCAAGGUGAAGAGUCUCUAGUCGAUAGAAUA
rnacentral:rRNA from 1 species